rnacentral:lncRNA from 1 species
CUAUUUCAAAGCGUCACCUGGUCUGUGGUAACUGUUGAAUCACAGUCUGAGCCACUGAUUAUCACCUAGGGAAGGGACCUGGUCAGCCCUGGUUAGUGCAGGUGAGGGCAAUGCAGCUGAGUGACUGGAAGGGAUGGAGCCUGGCUGCACCUCUCUUACAGCUCAUUUUUGAAGGCUGACUGCCACUAGAGAAGGAUAUCUGGUUGAGGAUCCCUCCCUUGUGAGUUUUCCUUGUGAGUCUUGAUCUUUGGAGAUAGGUGAGCACUUUUCCUUUCUAACACCUUUCCAUUCAAGCUAGUCCCUUUGCUACUACGCUCCUGUAUCAUCUUUCCACCACGCUGACCUUUCUGAUAGUUAUACCCAGCGAAGAUCACAAGUUAUCCCAAUGAAAAGCCCACACAUAGACUUUUUCCUGGAUACAGUUUCAUCUUGCAGCCUUGAAUGUACAAAGAUGCAGACUUGCUGAGGUGAAUGUUACAUGUUUCUUAUCUAAGGUCAGUGCUUGGUUUCAGCAUACUUCCUGUUAUGUGUGAUGCUCGGUUACUAACGUGAAUCAUUGGGAUAGCUGCUAUUGAGCUCAUGCAACUUUCAUAACAUCACGGAACUUCUAUUCAAUAUGUCAUAAUGGCAGGAUCGAAUAAGCCUCUGGGCCAGUGAUUCCCCUUGGUCUGGGAGGUGGCUGGGAAGCAGAUUUUGCCCUGCUCAUUUCUGAAGUGCAUGGUUACCGGCCCUGGCUUCAGAGCAAGGAGAAGAUGGUUAAGAACAACAACAAGGACUUGAAUGGCUGUGAGAAGUUUCUUACAGCACCAGCAAAGAGCUAAGAAUCAACUUUUAAAGUCUGCCUACAGAGAAAGGUCAGAAAGUUGGGUUAAGGCUGUGCAUGGGAGCAGCACUUUGCGCAUGGUUACAUCGUAGACCAGAGAACCAGGGAUCCAAACAGUUCAUCUCUCCUUCAGCCAGCUGGCUGGGACAUGUCAGCUGCUCUGAAACUCAGCUCACAGCCUCAUAAAACGAUGUUAAUAGUGGUGUUUGCUGGGCUGCAAGCUGAGCCUGAUUCUAGAUCUGCUGGAAAUGCCAGGCAGGGGAUGCCUCCACGCUUCCAUAUUGCUGCAUUUGGAUUGGCUUCUCCAAGAGCUGCAAAUAAACAAGUUGAUGGCCUGAUUUUAUCAGCCACACAGGAAGGUGAAUAUAAAAGAACCAAGGAAAAAAAAAAAAAAAAAAAAAAAGAGGAAGAAGAAAGAGGAAAGGGGAUUCAAAUUAACAGCGAUCCCAAUUCCCUGAGUUUCAGUUAAACAAUCUCAUUAAUCCUGUCUGCAGUGCAUGUACUAUGCCUGUGCUCCCCGCUCUGACAGGUCCCCAAAUCACAUUCACUGC